AUCCAGUUGACGAGUCCCAAGUAGGACGAAACGCGCGUUCUGGAU
rnacentral:hammerhead_ribozyme from 1 species